CCCUCCUCUCUUCCUCCGCAGCCCCCUCCCUAUUCCCCAUCAACCCCACACAGCGCCGCCACCCACCACCUCCUCGCCUCUCUCCUCCCACAAAUCGCCGCCGGCCCGACUUCUCCUCUCCUCUCACCUCGUAGCUUCCAGAUCCGCCUCGUCCAGCGCCCAUCCAUCCUUCUCCCGAACAUCUCUCUUUCUUGUGACCCUCGCACCACAGCCAACCCCCACCGAUUCCGGCGACUUCCACCACUGCAUAUCACGCACUGUAACUAGUCUCCGGCCCCUCUGUCCCCCAGGCCGGCUAGAUCCGCGGCUCACGUCUCCGGCGCUCGCCUGCGAGCAUUAGCCCAUGGCUAGGGUUUCGGCUGCGUCGUCGUGUCCAUCGUCGCCGCGUCUCCGGCGGCUCUGCUCCGCCACACACCGCGCCCCCUUGCGCCCUCUCCUCCUCCUGGAUGCCGCCAUCCUUGUUCGGUGCGUUCGCCCGCGCCGAUUUGCACGACAGCGACCCCAACCUCCUCUCCCGCAUCUCCGGCACGAUGGUGCGUCAUAUGGCAACGUCCUCCGCUGCAUUUGGACCACUGGAGGCCCUCCCUUGCCCAGAGAAGUGAAUGUAUGACGGUGAUGUCGAUUGUUGGCUGCCGGUGUGAACCAACAAAUAUGCCGAGACAACAGGCAGUUGAUGGAAGCAUCCAAGUUGAGCCAGGUGCAUUCACAUCACCUUAUCUUGUGCAGGCUAUGGAAAAAUACUUGGCUGUUCUUGCUGCUUUGAAAUCUAAUAUCUAACAGUCUUAAGAAGGGAAGAUUACGUAGAGAGCUACUUGGUGCUACCAUCAAAAUCAGCCUUGACGUGAUAGUUACCACAGGAGGACCCACAGGAAGAACAUGAAUAAUAGCCUCAAUAGCUUAUAUGUUAUGUUGAGUAAAAUGGGUUGUACUGGUUCCUAACCUUGCUGUGUGAUAUAUUGUCCAUCUAUGCUUGUAAGUUAUCACUUCAUAGAAGGAUUUUGUAAACUGCUAUGUUGUAUUUACAUAUGGAUGGCUGCAAACUGGAUCAACUGUGCAAUGUUCU